rnacentral:rRNA from 1 species
AGCGAACGCUGGCGGCAGGCUUAACACAUGCAAGUCGAGCGGGCAUCCUUGUGGUGUCAGCGGCAGACGGGUGAGUAACGCGUGGGAACGUGCCCUUCGUUUCGGAAUAACUCAGGGAAACUUGAGUUAAUACCGGAUACGUGCGAGAGCAGAAAGGUUUAUCUGCCGAAGGAUCGGCCCGCGUCUGAUUAGUUAGUUGGUGAGGUUACGGCUCACCAAGGCGACGAUCAGUAGCUGGUCUGAGAGGAUGAUCAGCCACACUGGGACUGAGACACGGCCCAGACUCCUACGGGAGGCAGCAGUGGGGAAUAUUGGACGAUGGGGGCAACCCUGAUCCAGCCAUGCCGCGUAAGUGAUGACGGCCGUAGGGUUGUAAAGCUCUUUUCUCCGGGACGAUAAUGACGGUACCGGAUGAAUAAGCCCCGGCUAACUUCGUG